AGCCCUCAGCGUACAUGCCAGCUAAUUACAGAUGCAGGAGCAAACCCCUGGCCCAUACAUCAAUGGAGUUUCGCUCUUGUUGCCCAGGCUGGAGUGCAACGGCACGAUCUCAGCUCACCGCAACCUCAGCCUCCCAAGUUCAAGCAAUUCUCCUGCCUCAGCGUCCUGAGUAGCUGGAAUUACAGGAUUUUGGAAGCAUUGCCUUCUACAGAAUCCACAGUAGUCCGAAGCUCUUCUACGGUUUUUGUCAAACUUUGAUUUUCCAUCUCUAGCUUCAAUAAUCUACUUGAUGUCAACUCAUUCACCUCAUGGCCCAGGGAUUUCUGGGGUGCUAUAAUAUUGAAAAAUACACCAUUGUAUUUACUCUUUACUGUUUUUACUAUGUUUACUCUUUACUAUUUAAAAAGUUGAGUGUAUAUGCAUUGCAUCAUCUGAUCCUUAACUUUAUUAAAAAUUCAAUGAGGUUAUAUAAGAUAAACAAGAUAAAAGAAGUAAAUCUUUUUUUUCCUUUUCUUUUUUUCUUUUUUUUAAAGAGACGGGGUCUCUCUCUGUCACCCAGGCUGGAGUGCAGUGAUGUGCUCCUAGCUCACUGCAGCCUCAAACGCCUGGUCUGAAGGGAUCCUCCCACCUCAGUCUCCCAAGCGGCCGGGACUGCAGGUACAGCCAGCUAAUUUUUUUAUUUUUUAGUAAAGACUGGGUCUCUGUUACUUAGGCUGGUCUCGAACUCCUGAGCUCAAGCAAUCCUCCUGCCUUGGCCUCCCAAAGUGCUGGGAUUACAGGCAUGAGCCGCUGCACCCAGCUAAGAGAUACAUGUUUAACUUUUAAUGCAUCCACAGCAUUCUAGUUAAAAAAAGCAUAAAAUUUAGAUUGAAGAAAUUGGAGUUCAAGCAGACCCAUUAAAUAUUUUGCU
rnacentral:lncRNA from 10 species